rnacentral:rRNA from 1 species
AUGAACGCUGGCUGCGUGCUUAACACAUGCAAGUCGAACGAAGCACUUUAUUUGAUUUCCUUCGGGACUGAUUAUUUUGUGACUGAGUGGCGGACGGAUGAGUAACGCGUGGGUAACCUGCCUUGUACAGGGGGAUAACAGUUGGAAACGGCUGCUAAUACCGCAUAAGCGCACGGCAUCGCAUGAUGCAGUGUGAAAAACUCCGGUGGUAUAAGAUGGACCCGCGUUGGAUUAGCUAGUUGGUGAGGUAACGGCCCACCAAGGCGACGAUCCAUAGCCGACCUGAGAGGGUGACCGGCCACAUUGGGACUGAGACACGGCCCAAACUCCUACGGGAGGCAGCAGUGGGGAAUAUUGCACAAUGGGCGAAAGCCUGAUGCAGCGACGCCGCGUGAGCGAAGAAGUAUUUCGGUAUGUAAAGCUCUAUCAGCAGGGAAGAUAAUGACGGUACCUGACUAAGAAGCACCGGCUAAAUACGUG